AACGUAGGUUCCGAGCGUUAUCCGGAUUUACUGGGCGUAAAGCGCGUUCAGGCGGUUUAGCAAGUCGGGCAUGAAAUCUCUCGGCUCAACCGGGAGAGGUUGUCCGAUACUUCCAGACUUGAGGGCAGUAGAGGGUGGUGGAAUUCCGGGUGUAGUGGUGAAAUGCGUAGAUAUCCGGAGGAACACCAGUGGCGAAAGCGGCCACCUGGACUGCACCUGACGCUGACACGCGAAAGCUAGGGGAGCGAACGGG
rnacentral:rRNA from 1 species